UACGUAGGGGGCUAGCGUUAUCCGGAAUUACUGGGCGUAAAGGGUGCGUAGGUGGUUUCUUAAGUCAGAGGUGAAAGGCUACGGCUCAACCGUAGUAAGCCUUUGAAACUGAGAAACUUGAGUGCAGGAGAGGAGAGUAGAAUUCCUAGUGUAGCGGUGAAAUACGUAGAUAUUAGGAGGAAUACCAGUUGCGAAGGCGGCUCUCUGGACUGUAACUGACACUGAGGCACGAAAGCGUGGGGAGAAAACAGGAUUAGAUACCCCGGUAGUCCCUGAGCGGGCU
rnacentral:rRNA from 1 species